UCUUAUAGAUUCUCGUAUUAAGUUGUUUUUAUAGGCUUUUAGUUCCCUUCUUAAUUGUUCUAGAUUUUGUUUCCUAUGAAAAGUAACGCUUUCAACCCAUUCUACGUCCAGCUGCUCGUUUUCGAAGCAAUCUUGAAACUCCUCGAAUAGAGACUGGUACAACUCUAGAUUAUAUGUCUUUUCUUUCAAUUCUUUAAUGGCAUAAUGAACACAAAAACUUCUUAACGGCUUAGAAUUACGGGCGACAAACAGCGCGCGAAAUAUUUUGGACCAUACUAUGAAACUGUGAAUAAAAGAAUGACUUGCAAAAAUGCAUCAAUUGAAAAACUCUUACCACCAUAUUCAUCCAGAUAUCUCUUUAAUUCUUCCUGAUUGACUAGUAGAUUUAAGCUCAUAAUAGAAAACUCGUAACUAGUCGGAACACUGUAGGUUAUAGAAUUGGCCAACUGGUUAUAGGCCAGUGACGAGUACCAGAUGUAUAAAAGCUAUAAUAAGAUGGUGAUUUUUUCAAGUCGAAGAUGUAUGUAGUUAAUUAGUUCUACUUUACGGAAACGAGAAAAACAUAUCAUAUUGAUUUUAUUUCUUUCCCCAAAUUUCCAAGCAAAAUCGCAUCUAAAGUUAGGAUAUGAGUUUACUAUUAAUAUGAGAUACCAAGAUU